rnacentral:rRNA from 1 species
AUUACCGCGGCUGCUGGCACGGAGUUAGCCGGUGCUUCUUCUGCGGGUAACGUCAAUCGAUAAGGUUAUUAACCCCAUCGCCUUCCUCCCCGCUGAAAGUACUUUACAACCCGAAGGCCUUCUUCAUACACGCGGCAUGGCUGCAUCAGGCUUGCGCCCAUUGUGCAAUAUUCCCCACUGCUGCCUCCCGUAGGAGUCUGGACCGUGUCUCAGUUCCAGUGUGGCUGGUCAUCCUCUCAGACCAGCUAGGGAUCGUCGCCUAGGUGGGCCAUUACCCCGCCUACUAGCUAAUCCCAUCUGGGUUCAUCCGAUAGUGAGAGGCCCGAAGGUCCCCCUCUUUGGUCUUGCGACGUUAUGCGGUAUUAGCCACCGUUUCCAGUGGUUAUCCCCCUCUAUCGGGCAGAUCCCCAGACAUUACUCACCCGUCCGCCACUCGUCACCCAAGAGCAAGCUCUCUGUGCUACCGUCCGACUUGCAUGUGUUAGGCCUGCCGCCAGCGUUCAAUCUGAGCCAGGAUCAAACUCU